AGUGAACGCUGGCGGUAGGCCUAACACAUGCAAGUCGAACGGCAGCACAGAGGAGCUUGCUCCUUGGGUGGCGAGUGGCGGACGGGUGAGGAAUACAUCGGAAUCUACUCUGUCGUGGGGGAUAACGUAGGGAAACUUACGCUAAUACCGCAUACGACCUACGGGUGAAAGCAGGGGAUCUUCGGACCUUGCGCGAUUGAAUGAGCCGAUGUCGGAUUAGCUAGUUUGCGGGGGAAAGGCCCACCAAGGCGACGAUCCGUAGCUGGUCUGAGAGGAUGAGCAGCCAUACGGGAACUGAGACACGGUCCAGACUCCUACGGGAGGCAGCAGUGGGGAAUAUUGGACAAUGGGCGCAAGCCUGAUCCAGCCAUACCGCGUGGGUGAAGAAGGCCUUCGGGUUGUAAAGCCCUUUUGUUGGGAAAGAAAUCCAUCCGGUUAAUACCCGGGUGGGAUGACGGUACCCAAAGAAUAAGCACCGGCUAACUUCGUGCCAGCCGCCGCAGUAA
rnacentral:rRNA from 1 species